AUACCCCAGCUUCCACCCACACUGUUAGUCCUCUUGGGGGACAUGCUUGGGCCUCCUGAGUACUGUCCCCAUAGGUGAUUGGGUCCCCCAUUCUGAGAAGCCUCGGGCAAAGGUGUUUUGCCCAUCUUACCAGGGUCUCUGGGUAUAGAUUCAGCCUGGACCAAUGGGUCUACUGGCUCUUGCUUGAUGGAUCUGUUGUAGCAGUUGGAGCUCUGUGCAAAGGGAGAGGGGUCCCUGGAUGCUGGGUGGAUCUGGGGAGCCUUGGGAAGCAGAUACUCCUUGGGGCCUGGAUAAGCAGGCUGCUGGUGGUGAGGAGUGGGGUGGUGGGUGUCUGUGGGAACAGCCUGGCCAGGCAGCUCGGCAAACUCAGCACCACCGUAGGCCGGGCUCAGGCUGUUGUGCAGAGCAUGGAGGUCUGGCUUCUUCUCAAAACUGCUGCCACCACCACUGUGUCCCCAGGUGCCAGGACCCAGGAACUGUGAGGGGAAGACGGGGUUGCUGGAUGGAAAGCCAUAAUAGCCGAAUGAUGGAAGAGCGUACUUGGAGUGGAAGCCGUUGACGGAGGCGGGCAAAGACUAAAGAAAUUGAGAAAGCCCUGUGUUACAAGUAAGCCAGAGAAGCAGCACUCUAAAGCCUAUAAAUGGCCUUUCCCUGGGACCUCAAGGAGAUCAUUCCACCUCUGCACCAAGAUGUGCUAGAAACCCUCAUGGUACCGUGUGGACAAGGCCCUGCCCCAUCUGGCUUCCAGCCCUGGACAAGGAAGAGGACAAGGAGCAAGAGAAUGCUUCUAACUUCAUAAAGGAGAUCCUACCACUCCCAGCCCUGCCUGCCUUCUGGACUCCCUGUGACUGACCCCUGCCUGCCUCUGAGCCUUGGCCUGUGCUGGUCCUUCUGCCUGGAGCGCUCCAACCCUAGACACUCCACCCCCCACCCUACCCCACCCCCUGUCCCUUACUCUCACUUCAUUCAUGUCUCAGCUCAGGUGCCCCUCCUCAGAAGGGCCUCUCUGCCUAUGGCCUUUCAAACAGAAUCUGCUCUCAUCUUCCCCCUUCCCCUACUCCAUCUUUUCCUCACAGCCUUCAUCACUACCUGAUACAAUUAAUAUUACACACUUGGGCGGGACUUGGUCCAUUUUAUUCCCCAGCAUCUAGACCAGCACCUGGGGCACAAUAAACAUUUACUCUAUGGCUGAAUCAAGAGGUUGUUUGGGUUUACAUCCAAGUGUUUCAUGGAGACCUAGAAUGGUUUUUCGGUAAGUGAGGGCCUCCAGGUGUCCCAGAGAUGGCACUCUGCAGCAUCUGCCUGAGACACAGAGGCAAGGCCAGCCUUGUCCAAGCAUUCCAGUUCAUGCAUUUCUCAGAGAAGUGGGCAGGAGCAGGCAGUCUGGCAGGGCACCUCCCAGAGAUCUGAGACUCUUGUCUCCAGGUCCCUCCCUACUCUGAGGCCACCGGUCUGCACAAACCAGUACCCCCCCAAGAUCAUCCCGCAGGGGGCGCUGUGACAGGUCCCAGGUCCCUUACCACUGUGCACCCAUUGUAGAGGUUAUGCUGGUCCUUGUGGGCGUGGGCACAGAAGUCCAUGCAAGCGGUGACCCCCGAGAAAGGCCGCCCUUCCUUCAGCCCCAGGCGGCAGUCGAUCGCUAUUUCCUCAUUGGUCACCUGAGUAGACAGCCAAAGAGAAGAGCUUGUGUAACCUGAGGUCAGUGGCCUGGAUUCUGAACCAGGGAGGCUAGGGAUGGGAGGAAGAGGGAAGUUGGUUGGUUAAGGACCACAGCUGCCCUGUGCAUGGGCUGCAGGAAGAAGGCUUUCUCGCUGAAGCCUUUGUAGGAAUUACUUCCUUCUGAGUUAUCUCAAAUCCCCCUCACCUCACCUGGGAGAUGAAGGGGUGACAGGAGAAAGAAACACAAGCCUCCCCAGGAGAAGCCAGACCAGAGGAGGUGGAAGAUUACUAGGGGGAGAGGCAUGAAUACAGGGAUAGAGGAGAGAUGGUCUGGGAUGCAGUUAGCUCAGUGUAAAGAAAGGAUCUUAUUAAAGAC